rnacentral:rRNA from 1 species
AGCGAACGCUGGCGGCAGGCCUAACACAUGCAAGUCGAACGAACCUUUCGGGGUUAGUGGCGGACGGGUGAGUAACACGUGGGAACGUGCCUUUAGGUUCGGAAUAACUCAGGGAAACUUGUGCUAAUACCGAAUGUGCCCUUCGGGGGAAAGGUUAAUCGCCUUUAGAGCGGCCCGCGUCUGAUUAGCUAGUUGGUUGAGGUAAUGGCUCACCAAGGCGACGAUCAGUAGCUGGUCUGAGAGGAUGAUCAGCCACAUUGGGACUGAGACACGGCCCAAACUCCUACGGGAGGCAGCAGUGGGGAAUCUUGCGCAAUGGGCGAAAGCCUGACGCAGCCAUGCCGCGUGAAUGAUGAAGGUCUUAGGAUUGUAAAAUUCUUUCACCGGGGACGAUAAUGACGGUACCCGGAGAAGAAGCCCCGGCUAACUUCGUG